rnacentral:rRNA from 1 species
UUCCGGUUGAUCCCGCCGGAGGUUACUGCUAUCGAGGUUCGACUAAGCCAUGCGAGUCGAAUGUAGCAAUACAUGGCGAACUGCUCAGUAACACGUGGACAACCUGCCCUUAGGACGGGGAUAAACCCGGGAAACUGGGUAUAAUACCCGAUAGGUCUCGAUUGCUGGAAUGCAUCGAGAUUUAAAGCUCCGGCGCCUAAGGAUGGGUCUGCGGCCUAUCAGGUAGUAGUGGGUGUAGCGUACCUACUAGCCUACGACGGGUACGGGUUGUGAGAGCAAGAGCCCGGAGAUGGAUUCUGAGACACGAAUCCAGGCCCUACGGGGUGCAGCAGGCGCGAAAACUUUACAAUGCUGGCAACAGCGAUAAGGGAACCUCGAGUGCCAGGUUACAAAUCUGGCUGUCGAGAUGCCUAAAAAGCAUUUCAUAGCAAGGGCCGGGCAAGACCGGUGCCAGCCGCCGCGGUAACACCGGCGGCUCGAGUGGUAACCGUUAUUAUUGGGUCUAAAGGGUCUGUAGCCGGCCGGAUAAGUCUCUUGAGAAAUCUGGCAGCUUAACUGUCAGGCUUUCAGGAGAUACUGUCUGGCUCGAGGCCGGGAGAGGUGAGAGGUACUUCAGGGGUAGGGGUGAAAUCUUGUAAUCCUUGAAGGACCACCAGUGGCGAAGGCGUCUCACCAGAACGGACCUGACGGCAAGGG